rnacentral:lncRNA from 1 species
CUUUCCGUCUCCCAGCCAUCGUCUUCCCUGCAGGAGCAUAGACCCCAGAUCUCAAUCUUGGCCCCGAGGCUGGAGCCAGGAGGUGCAGCUCCAUGUCAAUUACGGCCCAGUUCCAGAGGUGCCAUCAAAGAGUUAACUAGGAUGUCCCAGUGUGCAAAUGUGGGAUAAUUGGGAAACAAAUUCUACAAACAUCUUGAAAGGGGCAAAAGACCUUUGAUCUUUCCAUAGAAAGGCAGACAUUACAGACGUUACUGCCUUUUGGGGCCUGCACACAUCCCAUACCAGGUCAGAGGAUGCCAUCUUUCGGAGAAAUCAACCGACACCUAAUUCCAUCGUACCUUAAUUAUCCUAACUGGUUUCGUAUGUCCAAAGGCAUUUUCCCCAAAGAUUAGAGGAGAAAGAGGGACUGACAAAAUAAUUAAAUAUGCAAUUUGCCAAGCGUGGACAAUAUGGCUUUGAAAUCACCUUUUCAGGAAGCUUUACCGCGUGCUCAUGGACAUGUAUAUUGCAGGCUUCAGACUUUUAUUUAGGCUCUUUUGAUUGCCUUAAUGGAUUAAUACCUGAGUGCCAUCAGUGAGGGGCUGAGACCCGAGGCUGUUUCUAAUUUCGCAAAUAUUGCGCCUGCUUCCUCUGGUGUUAUGACAAAAACAAGUAUCUAGGAUUUGCCUUCUCUUAAAGCAACAUGCCGAUCCCCUCCAAUAAUUGCCUCAUGCCAGAAUCUGCGUCUCACAAAUGUUGUUGUCGGUUACAGGAAAAUUCCAUGGUGCCAGGGGCCUGGGCGGCGGGCGGCGGCGUUGGCAGGACUGGGCAGGCCCGUGUUGUGUGCGGGGCCUGGAUCCUUUUUUGGGUGGCGUUCCCGAUAGGAGUCUGCGUAUCCGGACAGUGGGGCGCCUCUCAAACUCGGGCCCCGGCGGCGUCCAGGGGUGCGGAGGAAUGCGUUACUGUCCCCGCUUAUGACUCCUGCCGUGGGAAAACAAACUUCAAAACGGACGCGGUUUGCCACGUAACAUGUCAUGGAUUGCAUUAGCGUCGCACGGGCAAUUCCAUCACCUAAUGUGCUAAAGUUGGCUCAAAUGUUCCCCACUCUGCAAGGUGAGAAAUUACUUAGCUAACAAAACAUUUCGUUUUCCUCUCUUUGCAUUCUUUCUUUAUGAGAUCCUGAAUGUGACAUUUUCACCAAAAAAUCUCUGCGCUUAUUUGUGAAAAAUGUAUAUUAAAACCAAAACCCAUCAAAUGGAAAGAAAUCACAGAUGGUUUUAUUCACAAGCAGUAGAAUUAAUGGCCUCUCUUCUCUUUAUAAAUAUUAGAAGCAGAUGAGUUCAUUACGAUUUCACCCUAAUAAAGAAAACCUGCUUGAUUUUGACA